rnacentral:rRNA from 1 species
AGAGUUUGAUCCUGGCUCAGAAUGAACGCUGGCGGCAUGCCUAACACAUGCAAGUCGAACGAAGGCUUCGGCCUUAGUGGCGCACGGGUGCGUAACGCGUGGGAAUCUGCCCCUUGGUUCGGAAUAACAGUUGGAAACGACUGCUAAUACCGGAUGACGACGUAAGUCCAAAGAUUUAUCGCCGAGGGAUGAGCCCGCGUAGGAUUAGGUAGUUGGUGUGGUAAAGGCGCACCAAGCCGACGAUCCUUAGCUGGUCUGAGAGGAUGAUCAGCCACACUGGGACUGAGACACGGCCCAGACUCCUACGGGAGGCAGCAGUGGGGAAUAUUGGACAAUGGGCGAAAGCCUGAUCCAGCAAUGCCGCGUGAGUGAUGAAGGCCUUAGGGUUGUAAAGCUCUUUUACCCGGGAUGAUAAUGACAGACCGGGAGAAAAGCUCC